rnacentral:rRNA from 1 species
GACAAACGCUGGCGGCGUGCCUAAUACAUGCAAGUCGAACGACGAAAGCCUUCGGGCAAGUAAGAGUGGCGCACGGGCGAGGAACACGUAGAUAAUCUGCCCUUCAGUGGGGAAUAACUCUCCGAAAGGAGUGCUAAUACCGCAUAAGACCACAAGCUCUGCGGAGCAAGGGGUUAAAGGAUUUAUUCGCUGAAGGAUGAGUCUGCGUCCGAUUAGCUAGUUGGUGAGGUAAUGGCUUACCAAGGCAAUGAUCGGUAGAUGGUCUGAGAGGAUGAUCAGCCGGACUGGAACUGAGACACGGUCCAGAAUCCUACGGGAGGCAGCAGUAGGGAAUAUUGCACAAUGGGGGAAACCCUGAUGCAGCAACGCCGCGUGAGUGAUGAAGGCUCUAGGGUCGUAAAGCUCUGUCGUAUGGGAAGAAAAAAAUGACGGUACCAUACAAGAAAGGACCGGCCAACUUCGUGCCAGCCGCCGCGGUAA